UUCUGUGUUGUGAAGUAAGCAGAAAGAAAGACAGCAUUACUGCCGGGUCAAAGCUGUGGGGAUUCCCUCCUUGCCCCUUUGUUUUCUAAUGUCUGGGUUGACAUGUGGUUAAAUGUUCUUUUCCUAUGUCUGUCCUUUGGACUGUGUUUAUCUCACGCUGCAGUGAUCUGCUUUUUAGCUUGGAAAACACCGACCUACUUAUCAUCUACUAGAAAUUUGUACAUUGAGGACUAAAAUUAGGACAAACGUUCAAGUCUGUGGGGUUUUUUGAUUGUUUGUUUUGCGGGGGAGGUUUAUAUGCGAAGGCAGACGUUGCUCCAAUUCUGCUCAUCUACAAACUGGCUCCCGUGGGCCUUCGCGGCCGGUGGUUUAAUUCAUGAGCAGUCAGUGAGAAUUUUCAAAAGGGCAUUAUGCUUCCAGCUAUACACUUAGCACAAGAAUCAACACAAAGGUGAUCGGCAUCCUUUGGAGAACCGUCUUCUGACUCGGUCCUGUCACAGACCUCGUUCAUAGGCUACUGCUGUGUGGGGUGUUCUCUACUGUUUGGUGUAUUUCUGCCUCGUUGUCCCGUGUGUAACACUGCUAUUGUGCUGGGGAUUGGCUGGACAAGGACUGUGAAGGAGAAUGGCAAACACACAGAGAGACACACAUUCCGGGAUGCUAAGAGCCUCACUUUAUGUCCUCUCCUUCCAGAAGGCGGCGGUUCAGGCCUGGAGCGGCAUCCACCUCCACGUUGACAUUGUUGCCCAGCUGCCGGCGAAGGACCUCGACUUCCUAUGAGAGGGCGGUUCUGACUGAGGGCCAGUGAGAUGGCUCAGCAGGCAAAGGUACCCCUGCCAAAUCUGACAUCUGGAGUUCUGUCCCUGGAAACCGCUGAUGGAUGGAAAGCACUGACGGCUGCCAACUGUCCCCUGACCUCCACAUGCACCUGGCAACACCCUGUGUCUGUGCUGCUCUCUUUUUCUCCUUUCCAUCUCU
rnacentral:sRNA from 1 species